rnacentral:lncRNA from 1 species
GUCAAUAGACAAAAGAAGAAAAACAAUAAUAUACAAUUCAAACAUGCUUGGUUGUCUCAAACUAACUCACACAAGUUCCCAUCCUAGGGUUAAGGAGCCAAGAUGCUAUGAUCCUUGAGGCAAAUGCAAAUCCAAUGAUAUGAUGCCAUGAGGGAUCUUAGGGUCUUUAUUAGAGUCUUACAACAUGAUUUGUUAUGGUUGUGGUAAAAUGAUUGGUUGUGAUUAUGACCUUGAAAUCUUGGUGAUUGUGAGCUUGGAAUCCUUGAUUUAUA